rnacentral:rRNA from 1 species
GAUGAACGCUGGCGGCGUGCCUAAUACAUGCAAGUCGAGCGAACAGACGAGGAGCUUGCUCCUCUGACGUUAGCGGCGGACGGGUGAGUAACACGUGGAUAACCUACCUAUAAGACUGGGAUAACUUCGGGAAACCGGAGCUAAUACCGGAUAAUAUAUUGAACCGCAUGGUUCAAUAGUGAAAGACGGUUUUGCUGUCACUUAUAGAUGGAUCCGCGCCGCAUUAGCUAGUUGGUAAGGUAACGGCUUACCAAGGCAACGAUGCGUAGCCGACCUGAGAGGGUGAUCGGCGACACUGGAACUGAGACACGGUCCAGACUCCUACGGGAGGCAGCAGUAGGGAAUCUUCCGCAAUGGGCGAGAGCCUGACGGAGCAACGCCGCGUGAGUGAUGAAGGUCUUCGGAUCGUAAAACUCUGUUAUUAGGGAAGAACAAAUGUGUAAGUAACUAUGCACGUCUUGACGGUACCUAAUCAGAAAGCCACGGCUAACUACGUG